rnacentral:misc_RNA from 1 species
UCCGGUUUGUCACCGGCAGUCUCAUUAGAGUGCUCAACUGAAUGUAGCAACUAAUGACAAGGGUUGCGCUCGUUGCGGGACUUAACCCAACAUCUCACGACACGAGCUGACGACAGCCAUGCAGCACCUGUGUCUAGGUUCCCUUUCGGGCACUCCUGCAUUUCUGCAGGAUUCCUAGCAUGUCAAAGGUAGGUAAGGUUUUUCGCGUUGCAUCGAAUUAAACCACAUGCUCCACCGCUUGUGCGGGCCCCCGUCAAUUCCUUUGAGUUUCACCCUUGCGGGCGUACUCCCCAGGUGGAAUACUUAACAGGUUACCUACGGCACCGAAGGGGUCGCUCCCCCCGGCACCUAGUGCCCAUCGUUUACGGCGUGGACUAC